AUGGAUGCUCUGGAGGCUGACUUCCGCAACCGUGCUCUGCUCGCCACUGUUAGGGGCAGGAGGCCCCCAGUGUCGCCGGAGGCGCUCGUCCAAGCUCUCGCCAGAGAUUGCGGGGUGGAGCGUCGGCAUGUCAGGGUGGAAGUCACCUACCCGGCUGAUUUUUUCCUCACCUUCGCCUCUGCGGAGAUCUGCGACCGGGUGUUCAGCAGUUUCGACCGGAUUUGCUGUGCCGGAGCCCCUAUUGGGUUUCAGCGCUGGCAUCGGAGCACGCAAGCCGUUGGGGGCAAGCUCGGUUUCUUCUGCAAGUUAGGCAUCGAGGGACUGCCGGCCAGCGCAUGGGAAGUGGGCGCUGUCAGUCAGCUCAUCAACAAUCUUCAGGGCCAGCUGGUGGAGAUCCUACCGCAGCAAGAUCGCUGGCAGUUGGAGGUGACAGCUUGGCUGCGUAAUCCGUCCGGCGUCCCGAAGAUCUAUGACCUAGAGGUGCCGGAGCCGGUGGGUUUGCAGAAUACGGUCGAUGAGGAAUGGCUGGUGGCACCCCCGCCGCCGGCCCUGCCUACGGAGCGCCUCACUUUGAUCCAUCCGCUCACAUUGCAUGUGCUGGAUGUGGUCGACCGCACUGUCCCCUACCUUCAGCUCCGACCUGAUUUCCAGCCAGAUGAGGAUGAGGACCUCACCAGGAGGCAUGACUAUUCGGGCAUCUGCUACAGAGGAAGAAUUGAUGGUGAAGGCAGGGGAGACACGCCACGCUCUGGUGGUCACCCCUUCGGCGGUCCUGGUGGGCUUGGCAUUGCCGGAGACUGGGGCGGUCGCCGUUCCAAUGGGGUCUUCGGGUCGGCAGGCGGCAUAUCCCCUCCCUUUGUGGUGCAUCCGGCUAGUCAUGGCUCCACCCCAGCCGGGGCCUCUCCCUUCUCAGAUGACAACAGCGAUUUUCGGCCAGGCUCGAGAAGGCGGGAAUCCCCACUCCAUGGAUCCGUGGCUCCUACGGCUGUGGGCUCGGCGGCCUACGUUGACACGCCGGUCCUGGUGCUUUCAGCUGCAGACACGGCGGUCGGUCCGGCAGCUCUUGUCAGCACGCCAGCAGUGGGGAAAAUCCUCCUCCAGCACCCCCCCGUCCCCGCGGCGCCUUUCCUUCAGCCCAGCGGCGGUGAUGCUGGAUUCCAGGGAGCAUGA
rnacentral:rRNA from 1 species